GGCACUGGAGCCCAGCUCUGGGCGCCCCCUCCAGCAGCUCUGGGAGCCGGGAGACGGCCACUGGGGCUGUGGACAGAGCGGGCGUUUGCCCAGACACGUGUUGCUCCUGGGGCAAGGCCCCGGGGCAGUCAGGAGCUCUGCAGGCUGCCCAUCCCUGGCUGCCAGGCUCAUGCCCACUGCCCUCUGGGUGCGUGCCGUGUGACUGUCCCCAAAGCCGCCAGCCAAGUGCGUGCCCUUCUCAGAGCCCCGUGUCCCCCAGAACCUGAGAGGGGAGGCUGGCUCCACAGGGAAAAGGGACAGCCCUGGGGGGACAGAGACGGUGGAAGAGGCACCCAAGAGCUCCAGGUCAGCUGCUCCUCCAGAACCCCGGCCUUGGGCUUCUGCUCAGGUUCAAGUUGUCCUCUCUGCCAGGUUCUCUUUGGUUGUUGGGUGUGAUCAGCAACUGACCAUCCCAUGCCAAAGGAUGGCAUGGUGCAACUGAAAUCCUGUGAGAGUUGCAGGAUUUAACGAAGCCAAUGAAAGGGGACACUGGAGGACUCUUCUAAUGCCACACAAAGUCCUAGACAAAUUCGAAACCUGGCAGAGGGCGGCUAGUUCACAACAGAAGAAGAGAAAAUUGGCAGCAAUGAGUCAUGACAGGAAACUUUCAUCAUUCUCCUGUCAGUGAAAUAUGAAAUGAAAAAAUGUCAUACCACGCUAGCAUCUAAUUUUGUUCAAAAAAAUUAUCCCCCUUAACCCAAUAAAUACUUGAUUUGCUCUUUGUUCAUUGAAA
rnacentral:lncRNA from 1 species